rnacentral:lncRNA from 1 species
AGAAGUCAAAAGUCUCCAACUCUGAUGAGAAGAAACAUCAGAAGGGAAAGGAGAAGUUUGACAAGAAGAAGGUUUAAUGCUACUGUUGUAAGAAUUUUGGUCACUUUGUUGCUAACUAUUGAUCAAACAAGGAAAGGAAAUCAGAAAAAACAAACAUAACCAGAUGAGAUUCUGAUGAUGAAUCUGUACUAUUAAUGGCUUCUGAAUCUGAUGGUGGAUAUUU